rnacentral:rRNA from 1 species
UACGAAGGGGGCGAGCGUUGUUCGGAUUUACUGGGCGUAAAGGGCGCGUAGGCGGCGCGAGAAGUCGAGUGUGAAAUUUCGGAGCUUAACUCCGAAACUGCAUUCGAUACUGGCGUGCUUGAGGACUGGAGAGGAGACUGGAAUUUACGGUGUAGCAGUGAAAUGCGUAGAUAUCGUAAGGAAGACCAGUGGCGAAGGCGGGUCUCUGGACAGUUCCUGACACUGAGACACGAAGGCCAGGGGAGCAAACGGG